UACGUAGGUGGCAAGCGUUGUCCGGAUUUAUUGGGCGUAAAGCGAGCGCAGGCGGUUCCUUAAGUCUGAUGUGAAAGCCCACGGCUCAACCGUAGAAGGUCAUUGGAAACUGGGGAACUUGAGUGCAGAAGAGGAGAGUGGAAUUCCAUGUGUAGCGGUGAAAUGCGUAGAUAUAUGGAGGAACACCAGUGGCGAAGGCGACUCUCUGGUCUGUAACUGACGCUGAGGCUCGAAAGCGUGGGGAGCAAACAGGAUUAGAUA
rnacentral:rRNA from 1 species